UCCCAGGUCGAUGCUCAACCGCUGAGCCACCCCGGCCGGGCCCCAAUUCAUUUUUAAAUAAGGGCACAAGUGAAUGUACGUGUACCAUGUGCCCAUGAUUGUCUUAAGCACAACCAUCUGAGGAAGAAGCCGUUUGUUCAUGACACAACCCGAACGCAGUGUUAUUUCACUGUCAUAACAGUAGUAAAAAUAUCUGACGUCUAUGGGAUUGUUACCGUGUUCCAGGCACCAUCCCAAGAACUUUGCUUCCAUCAUUUCAUUGAACUUCAAAGCUCAGAUCUUGGGGUUACACUUGCCUUUUUUGAAACCGGUGUGGCAGAUGGACCAGAAGAUGCCCCCCAAUGAUCCCUGGCUCCUGGCGCUCACCCCCUUGUGGCCCCCCCCCGGAGUGUAAGCUGGAUGUGAUGACUUUCUUUUAACCAACAGAAUAUGUGGAAUGUGGUUCCAUGAUUAGGUUUCAUACGACUGAGAUUUCUGUCUUGGGGGCAGACCUCUCUUGCCUUCUCGCCUGUGCUCUUUGAGGAAGCAAGGUGCCACGCCGUGGAAAGAAGCCCAUGUGGCAAGCAACUCAGGGCCACAUCCAGCCAGAUGGCUAGGACCUCAGUUCAAUAGCCCUGGAGGAGUUAGAUUCUGCCAACAACCACAUGAGCUCAAAUGUGAGCCCUUCCGAAAGUGUAGCCUUCAGAUGAGACCUAAGGGACCCUGAGCAGGGACCCAGUGGAGACGGGCCAGACUCUUUACACUUAGAAGUGUUUCUGUCUGGGAAGACAACUCAACGUUGGGCAUCACCUUUGAACUUACUUUGCAAUCGGUUCUGCGUAAUACUCAAGGAUAUUCAGUGCCUGGAGAUGUCAGCCUAGUGAAGGACCAGAUUUGGAAGAAGAAUUUUUCCUUGGGCAGGACGUGGCAGAUCAGGAAAGAGCCGCCUGACAACGGAGAACCAACAAUGCUUUUAGUAACUGGUCAGUACUUCUUUCUGACGACUGAUCAGCGGUGCUUUCAAAGAAAGACCUUGAUCAAAAGGGGCAAAACGUAAAAAAUAAUAUGAACAGACCCACUUUAAAAUGGAGCCAGAGCUGCCAUCCCAGGGGAACAGACCUGCACGUCUACCCCUCAAAUCUUUGGAAUGUUGAAACGGAAAACAGGGACUGGGCCUAACACAACAUUGUGCCCCAA